AUGACAAGGAGACAGGCAGUCGAGGCCCUUGAUAAUAGCAUGAGGGACAUCAUGGCUCAACCUGACCUGCCAUUUGGUGGAAAGACUGUCGUGUUUGGGGGACAUUUCAGACAAGUGCUUCCUCUUGUUCGCAAGGGAACAAGGUCACAAAUAAUUGACGCGACGCUACGCAAGUCUUACCUUUGGGAGAGUAUGAGACAUAUAAGACUUGUCCGUAAUAUGAGGGCUCAAAGUGAUCCAUGGUUUGCUGAUUAUCUUCUGCCUGUCGGGAAUGGCACCAAAGAUACUAUGGAUGAUGGUUACAUACGACUCCCAGAUGAGAUUUGUGUACCAUAUACCGGCGUUGCCUCUGAUAUUGACAAGCUUAUUGAAAGUGUUUUCCCGAUGCCGCUAGAUGAAAACCUCUUGGAUCCAAACUACAUAGCGUCCCGAGCAAUUCUAUCAACUCGGAAUGAGUACAUUGACAAAAUCAAUAUGAGGAUGAUUGAGAGAUUUCCUGGGGAGGAGAUGAUAUACUACAGUUUUGAUCGCGCGGAGGAUGAUCCACACAACUACUACCUUGCAGAAUUCUUGAAUUCAUUGACACCUAAUGGUCUACCUCCCCAUAUCCUCAAGUUGAAGAUUAAUUUUCCUAUUAUAUUGUUACGGAACAUUGACCCAGCGAGUGGGUUGUGCAACGGGACGAGGCUGAUUGUCCGAGGGUUCAUGAGGAAUGGAAUUGAUGCUGAGAUUGUGCUGGGCCAGCAUGCUGGUAAGAGGGUGUUCCUUCCUCGAAUUCCUCUUUGCCCAUCAGAUGAUGAGAUUUUCCAUUUAGGUUCAAGAGGAAGCAGUUUCCAGUCAGGCUUAGCUUUGCUAUGA
rnacentral:rRNA from 1 species